AUACGGAGGAUCCGAGCGUUAUCCGGAUUUAUUGGGUUUAAAGGGUGCGCAGGCGGGAGAUUAAGUCGGCGGGGAAAUUUUGCAGCUCAACUGUAAAAGUGCCUUCGAUACUGGUUUUCUUGAGUGUGGAUGAAGUAGGCGGAAUUUGUGGUGUAGCGGUGAAAUGCUUAGAUAUCAUGAGGAACUCCGAUUGAGCAGGCAUCCUACUAAACCAGUACUGUCGCUCAGGCUCGAAUGCGUGGGGAGCAAACAGGUUUAGAUGCACUGGUAGUGCACGCAGUAAGCGAUGAUUACUGGAUGUUUGCGAUACAAUGUAAGCGGCUGAGCGAAAGCGUUAAGUAAUACACCUGGGGAGUACGUUCGCAACAAUGAAACUCAAAUGAGUUGUCGGGG
rnacentral:rRNA from 1 species